CUCAAAGUGAGCAUGUUGGUUCAAUGCUCUUCUAGGGCAUGAGAAAAGGGCCCUGUAUUUGAUCUGCACAGCGCAAGCAAAUUUAAUAACAUGCUUGCAUUGUGUUUGCUUGAAACAUGUCUCAGGGGUUUCCAUAAUUGGAAUACUCACUGUAUCCCAUUUAUGGAGACACUAUGUGUUUGCUUAAAGGGUAUCUAGUGUGUUCAUAGGGGAUCCUGAGUGUGUAUGUCAGAAAUGUAGUGUGUGUGUAAGUGGUGCAGCAUCUGUGUGUAGGGGAUCUAGUGUGUGUUUGAAGGACUCAGG